GCCUUAGUAGCGGCGAGUGAAGCGGCAAAAGCUCAAAGCAGAUCAUAAAGUGGAGGAAAGUAAACCAACAGGGAUUGCGACAGUAUCGGCGAGUGAAGCGGCAAAAGCUGUAUUUUGGAAUCCCCCCGGGCAGUUGUAAUUUGAAGAUUGCGUAUUGGAGGAUCCAGGCUUUAUGUUCCUUCGAUCGAGGAGUCGCAGAGGUUGGGAAUGCAGUUCGACGUGGCCCCUGAAUCCCAUUAAGACGCUCUUGUCGAGUCGAGUUGUUUGGGAAUCCAGUUCAAAGUGGGUGGUAAAUUCCAUAUUAAGAAAAAUACAGGCGAGAGACCGAUAGCGAACAAAUACAAAGAUGGAAAGAUCAAAAGCACUUUGAAAAGAGAGUGAAACAGCACGUGAAAUUGACAAAGGGAAGGGCAUGCAUUCAGAGGUCAGAGUAGUAAGAAGCGGAAACAAAGACUCGGAACGUGGCCCUCGGGCGUUAUAGCGACAGUUCAGCCCCGUCUGUGGACGAGGCUUGAUUGAUACACGUAGGAAGAAUGCCCU
rnacentral:rRNA from 1 species